UACAGAGGGUGCAAGCGCUAAUCGGAAUUACUGGGCGUAAAGCGCGCGUAGGCGGUAUGUUAAGUCGGAUGUGAAAUCCCUGGGCUCAACCUAGGCAUUGCAUCCGAUACUGGCACACUAGAGUGUGGGAGAGGAAGGUAGAAUUCCAGGUGUAGCGGUGAAAUGCGUAGAGAUCUGGAGGAAUACCGAUGGCGAAGGCAGCCUUCUGGCCUAACACUGACGCUGAGGUGCGAAAGCAUGGGGAGCAAACAGG
rnacentral:rRNA from 1 species